rnacentral:rRNA from 1 species
GGGACGAACGCUGGCGGCGUGCUUAACACAUGCAAGUCGAACGGUGAAAGGGUCUUCGGACCCUGGAUCAGUGGCGAACGGGUGAGUAACACGUGGGCAACCUGCCCCUAGCUCCGGAAUAACCCCGGGAAACCGAGGCUAAUACCGGAUACGACCCUGCGCGGCAUCUCGCGGGGUGGAAGUUUUUCGGCUAGGGAUGGGCCCGCGGCCUAUCAGCUUGUUGGUGGGGUAAUGGCCUACCAAGGCGACAACGGGUAGCCGGCCUGAGAGGGUGACCGGCCACACUGGGACUGAGACACGGCCCAGACUCCUACGGGAGCAGCAGUGGGAAUAUUGCGCAAUGGGCGAAAGGCCUGACGCAGCGACGCCGCGUGAGGAUGACGGCCUUGGGUUGUAACCUCGUUUCGGUAGGAUGAAGCUUCGGGUGACGAGUACCUGCAGAAGAGCACCGGCUAACGUACGUGCCAGCAGCCGAC